rnacentral:sRNA from 1 species
AAUGAGUCUGUGUCGAGAGGGAUAAGAACCCAAUAAAGAGGGUUCGACAAAACUGCUAGUCAGUUUUGAACGCCGGAGCAACGCGACGGCGGCCCGAAGGGUAAGGCGGUAGCCGAAUAAUCCCUCUCUCUCCGCCA